GAUGAACGCUGGCGGCGUGCCUAAUACAUGCAAGUCGAGCGAACGGACGAGAAGCUUGCUUCUCUGAUGUUAGCGGCGGACGGGUGAGUAACACGUGGAUAACCUACCUAUAAGACUGGGAUAACUUCGGGAAACCGGAGCUAAUACCGGAUAAUAUUUUGAACCGCAUGGUUCAAAAGUAAAAGACGGUCUUGCUGUCACUUAUAGAUGGAUCCGCGCUGCAUUAGCUAGUUGGUAAGGUAACGGCUUACCAAGGCAACGAUGCAUAGCCGACCUGAGAGGGUGAUCGGCCACACUGGAGCUGAGACACGGUCCAGACUCCUACGGGAGGCAGCAGUAGGGAAUCUGCCGCAAUGGGCGAAAGCCUGACGGAGCAACGCCGCGUGAGUGAUGAAGGUCUUCGGAUCGUAAAACUCUGUUAUUAGGGAAGAACAUAUGUGGAAGUAACUGUGCACAUCUUGACGGUACCUAAUCAGAAAGCCACGGCUAACUACGUG
rnacentral:rRNA from 1 species